CAUGUAGGCGGACUGUUAAGUCUGAUGUGAAAGCCCGGGGCUCAACCCCGGAAGUGCAUUGGAUACUGGCAGUCUUGAGUAUGGGAGAGGAAAGUGGAAUUCCGAGUGUAGGAGUGAAAUCCGUAGAUAUUCGGAGGAACACCAGUGGCGAAGGCGGCUUUCUGGACCAAUACUGACGCUGAGAUGCGAAAGCGUGGGGAGCGAACA
rnacentral:rRNA from 1 species